CCUACGGGUGGCAGCAGUGAGGAAUAUUGGUCAAUGGCCGGAAGGCUGAACCAGCCAUGCCGCGUGAAGGUCAGUGCCCUAUGGGUUGUAAACCUCUUUUUCCGGGGAGCAACGGGCGCCACGUGUGGCGCCACUGAGGGUACCCGGAGAAAAAGCAUCGGCUAACUCCGUGCCAGCAGCCGCGGUAAUACGGAGGAUGCGAGCGUUAUCCGGUUUUAUUGGGUUUAAGGGGUGCGGAGGCGGAUCGUUAAGUCAGGGGUCAAAUGGAGGGGCCCAACCCCUUCCCGCCAUUGAAACUGGGGCUCUUGAGGGGAAGAGAAGUAUGCGGAAUGGGGGGUGUAGCGGUGAAAUGCAUAGAUACCACGCAGAACCCCGAUUGCGAAGGCAGCAUGCCGGCUUCCGACUGACGCUGAAGCACGAAAGCGUGGGGAUCGAACAGGAUUAGUACCCCAGUAGUC
rnacentral:rRNA from 1 species